CUGAAUUUUAUGUCAGGUUUUAUUAGUAUGCUUUAGAAUCUAGAUUUUAUUUCUUGAAAGGACAGUCUAGAAAUUCCUCUACACCUAAGCUGAUUUUCUUUCUUUUGGACAGCAUGAUGUGUUGUGUAACAUGUUAAAACAGUUGUUUUCUAGUGUAUUUUCCAAUAUGAAGAUGGAAAUAUGAAUAUGACAUCAUAAAAAUGUAGACCUUGAGGAGUGGAUGAAGUGUCUAGAUUUCAUCCCCAGAAUAUAGGACGUAAUUACAUAUAUCUAAUUACGUAUAUCUACAGUAUCUUGUUACUGACAAAUAUGUUUUAGAGACCUCCUAACAGUAAAAUAAUUCUAUUAAAUUUCUUUUUUAUAAAGAUCUCAUUGAUCUUUUAUUCAACAAAUAUUUUGUGCCUACUCUUUGCCAAGUUACGUGCUAGACUGAGCACAGAGAAAUACAGAGGCCCCUUUCAAGUUGCUGUCAGUCUAAUAGAAUAAGAUAAAUAUGAACAUAAAUCAUUACAUAUAACAGCUAAAGGAACUGUGAACUAAAUGCAAUAGUAAAACAAACAGUGAAUUCGUCAACUCUGAUAGAGUUAAUCCAGAAAAUGCUUCAUAGAGGAAGAGAUGCUUACACUAGGUUUUGAAUGAUCAGUAGUUCUUAAGGUGGGAAAAAAGGCAUUAUUUUAGGAAAACUAGCAGGAUCUGAAGAGCAAAUCUGCCUGAAAUUAACAUGGAGUAUGGGGAAAUUCUAAGUUUUUAUGGUUAGGGCAAAGGUUAUAUGUAGAUGUUUGGCUAGAGAAGAUAUUGAAGAAAUAAACCAAGGCCAAACAGUGAGAACUACUAUCAUGAGCUUGGACUUUUAUCCUUUUUGGUGACUUUGGAAAAUAGAGACAUCAAAGGAUUUUACUAUGAGAAUUGCAGGAUAAGAUUGGCAUUUUAGAUUUUUUUCCUAGCAAAUUAGAGAAAAUAUUGUGAAGGUAGGUCUGAAUGGGAAGUUAGAAGACCAAAUAUAAACAUUUUUAAACAUCCAGGAGAGAGAAAGAAGUAAGGCAGCUGAUGACUAGACGGCAGAAAAGGAAGAGAUGGCAAAGAAGGAGACGCAACUGAACCGAGAAUCCAGACCCCUUGUGUCAACAUGACUUAACCAUUUAUUCCAGGAAGUUCUUUACCAGGAAGGGAAUGCUGCAGACCAAGCAUUACUUUCAUUUUUGCCCAUUUGCAUCAGGAAGUCCUUACACACAAACUUAUUUGAGCAGUUUGCUCAUCUGGGCGAACAGAACUCCCAUUAAGAUAGCAUUUUGCUCACCUGGACAAACAUCCUGCUGCUCCGGUACCAGUUUGCUUUCAAACACUCCUCAGAAUUCUUGCCAUAUCGAGUCCGUCCAUCCUGAAGUAUUACAUCAUGAAUUUGGCCCGGUUCCAGUCAAUUCCCCAUCUUGAAGAGCCCACCUAACACCACUUGAACCUAGACUCCAGAAGCGGAACAAGGAAUACAGGGAAAGAAGGUAGUAAGAGUGAAAGAGCAGAUUAUACCAUCUACACUGCAGAUGAGGCCAAUCUGAGAGGUGGGGACAUUGGAGAAACAGAAUUGUUUAACUGAAUGUGAGAAUGAACUGCUUUGAUUUGGACUAAUCGAUACAUGAAAGUGGCAGAAAGCUGCUGCUUCCACUCAGAUACACUCAAGGCUCAGAGAAGGAGAAUCUGAAAUGAAUGAAGACGUGACUGAUGAAAAAUAAUCAAUACCGUUACUAUCUCACAUCUAUCAUUCAGAUUUCUCAAUGCUGGUUACAUAUGAAAAGGAGAAGUUAUCAAGUGGGCUCUUCUAAAUUCCCAGGUGUUUCUAGCCUCAAAAAAUACCGAUCAGUAAUCUACAAGUGUUUCCUCAAAAGCAAACCUUUUUUUUUGGUUCUUGUUUUUUAAUCUCCUGAAUUUGAAACAGCCAGGUGUCUUAUAUAUAAUUGAAUUCCAGCCAGGAAGAGCUAAAGCAUGGAGCCAGACAGAAGUUUUGCUUCAUGUUGCCUGGUGCAGAUUUAUCCAGGGGCAAAAGCUCUAGUUCAAGAUUUGGUUGAAGAAAAAAAAAACAGGAAGAGGAAUUGUGAAAAUUGGCAAGAAAUAUUGCUACAAAUCAUAAUUGCUAAUAAAAGGCUACAGUUCUUCUGACGUCACUG
ensembl:lncRNA